ensembl:lncRNA
GGGCCAGGGUUCUAAAUGCUGCCUUUACUUGCAGAAAGAUGUGAGUCUGCAGUUUCUGGCACUAAGAUUGUAAAAAGUAGGAACUUCAUGGGAUUGUUGUGAAGGUUAGAGAUAAGGUCAGUUUAAGUACUCCAUACUUUUUCAGAGUUUAGCUGGAAACUUCCCUUAUCAUGAACAAAUUUCUCUAACAUUUUUACUGCUUCAACAUAUCAAAUAUGCUGGGCUCUUCGAACGUUGACCCUAUUUCUAAGGCUUUUCUUCCUCUUUUAGCCCAUUGGUACCGAUAUGUUCGUCCUCCUUACUUAUACACUCGAGGUGCAACUGGGAGUCGCUGGAGUAGUGAAGGGGGUACACUGGCCAAGUUGAAGUCACAGUAGGAAAGGACGGGCUUGACUGCGGGCAUAGAUAUGAAAUUCGGGCCCAGCAGAGUCCCCGACUUGUUGUGAUUCGGAAGAAGGGACGUGAACGUGGGUGGUAAAACGACAGGAGUCAAGGGAGGAGGCAAAUGGGGUGCACAUGGGACAUUGGCAAUGGAAAAGAAGGAAACCAAUUUAGACCCUAGGUCCACUUGGGCGAUGAAAUGCAAAUAGAGGUCUGUCCCAUCCUCCCUCAAUCCUUCCUUGGAGAAAGGCGAAUGCCAAAGGAGGCCCCAUCCUUAAACCGCUUUGAGCCCAGCUCCCCGGAGGCCCAGGAGAACCCACGAUCGAGAGGAGACCUCCGAGUUGCCUAGACGGACCCGGAAGUGCGCGCGGCGGAGCCCGUUUCCAGACCUGCCCGGGGGGGCCCGAGGUGGCCGCCGCUACGGAGCGGCUGCACGAUGACUGCCGGUCCGUUGUGUCCUGCUCUGAAGAAAUUUUAGAUCAAGUGUUGGCCUUGGAGCAGUACCAGAGAUUGGACCCAGCCCAUGGAGAAGCUGCCUGAGCAGAUGUCCCCGGAGUCCAGUGCCCAUCCGCCGAGCAGGAGCCUUGAAAGAGCAAGGGAUACCUAAGGCUUCACCUGUUGGGGAGAGAACAGAGAGAGUGGCUCAACAAAAAGAAGAGGUUUGGUGUAGUGAAAAGGAACAGAACGAGGCUGGAAAGACAGAGGCCGGGUCAGGAAGAUACAGAAGAAACCCUCAUUUUCAUAUCUGCCCAAGUAAGUACAGAAGCAUCUCCUGGUUCAUGAAGCAUUCCAAAUCCAAGGCCAAAUGGAAGCAUGCCCAGGCUAUUGUUCUUUGACUUUUGAUGAGCUGAUGAAGACUUUGGUAGCUUCUGUCUGGUGUUUCACCUUAUUAGGGUUUACAUUCUUACAUCCUUAUUAAUGAUCCCACUUUUGAAGGACUUCUGGGUUUAGAUGCCUCUAGGCCUGUGGUAGAAAUUUAGAAGAUUUAGAAGGCUGUAGAGUUAAGCUAUCCAAGAGAGCAGCAGCAGCUGCAAUGGGCUAACUAAACUGAAAUUAAUUAAUUCAAUUAAAUACAAUGAAAAGUCCAGCUCCUCAGCAACAUUUCAAGUGCUCAGCAGCCACGUGUGGCUGGCUACUGGCUACUGUAUUGGACAGUGCAGAUGUGGAACAGUUGCAUAACCACAGAAAGUUCUGUUGGAUUGUGCACAGUGAGUGACUUGAAUUUAUAGUACCAGGUCACUUUGGUACUUGCUAAAAAUAACUGACCUGACUACGUAGUAUUUAGGCUUGAUUGAUGCCUUUAUCACUUUUUUUUAAAAGUACCUAACUUUUUAGACUUAGUCUCAUAUUUGCAAUUUGUGUCUUAUAAGGUAAAUAGUUAAACACAUGUGCAAAUGGAUAUAAAAACAUUAACCCAAUAGUCCACUCACACCUACCAUGAACUAAUGAUAUCUAUAUAACAAAUAUCUAUCUAUAUAUCUAUAUAACUAUAUAUAUAUCUAUAUAUAACUAUAUAGAUCUAUAUCUAUAGAACUAAUGGCUAUCAUUUAAAAGAUGAGAAGUAACAAGUGUUGAUGAAGAUGUGGAGAAAAAGAAUUAUUUUUUUAAAAUGUUUUAUUAUUUAAUUUUGAGAGAGAGUGACAGAGCAGGAGUGGGGGAGAAGCAGAGAGAGAGAGACAGAAUCAGAAGCAGGCUUCAGGCUCUGAGCUGUCAACACAGAGCCCGACGCAGGGUUUGAACCCACGAACUGUGAGAUCAUGACCUGAGCUGAAGUUGGCAGCUCAAGUGACUGAGCCACCCUGGAACCCCUG